rnacentral:rRNA from 1 species
GAAUCUGUCCGUUGGUCGGGCUUCACUGUCCGUACUGGUGUGGUGGGUUCUUACCUUCUGAAUAACCAGCAUGCCAUUCACUUGGUGCGCUGGGGAAGCAGGACUAUUACCUUGAAAAAAUUAGAGUGCUCAAAGCAGGCUAGUGCCUGAAUACAUUAGCAUGGAAUAAUGGAAUAGGACGUGCGGUUCUAUUUCGUUGGUUUCUAGGAUCGCCGUA